AGCAUGCCUUUCCUUAACAAGCUCCAUGACUGGGACAAAUAACAUAAGCGUUUUGUACCUGUUCCCAUAUCUGUACGGUACAGUUUCCUCCCAGAUUUGAAAUAAAAUCUGUGUUCCUAAUUCCCUUUGUUCCAAAUAAAGUAGCCACUGUGUGCUUAUAUAGUAAAUGUACAUGUGGAAUACAUACGUAUAUUGUGUAUUAAGUAACUGAUAGUUCAUGGCAUUGUAGAUCUUGAUCUUUGUGUCUUACUUCUUUAGCUUAUUCGUUUAUGAAUGUUAAUCUUCCCACUUUUCAGUAAGUAAUGCUGAUGUUCUACAGCAAACAGAAAUGACCAGAAUUACCUUUCCCCUGUGAGCCAAGAGGGCCCACUUCAUCUCUCCCAAUAGGAAAAUCACAAAAGCCACCAGGUAUAGUACAGUACUGCUAAAAGCAACUUUUCACGAGACAAAUAUGAUUGCCAAACAAAGGUAAGAUAUUUCUCAAGUUUUCUUCUUUGUUCUACUGCUGGAUUUCAUGAUCUGUUUUUAUUAUGAAGCCAAGUUAGAAGGGAAGGCCGAGGAGGACUUGGCUGAGGCACAUUCUUUUCCUCUCACAAAGGUUGUUCCAGAUACUGUGUGACUCUGAAAGGUACCAUAUGAAGCGUAUCACACAAUUAUUACACGCCAUUUAUCAUGUUGGUCUCAAAUGCUGAGUUUGGAAACCAUGCGAGGAUCAGGUUCUAAGUGGAGUACUUAGGAAGAAGACAGAUGCAGCCUCUAUCUUUAUUGCCCCUAUGUGCUUUCCCUCUUACGUUUUGAGUUCCGAAGCAUGGCCAUACAGAGUUAAUUAGCAAGUAUGAGACCGGGAGAAGGAGAUGUCAAUCAGACAGAGGUGCACGGAACCCUUUAAUUAGCAUGAAAUGGUCUGUGCCACAAGAUCCAAUUCAACUGAUGGUCAGUAAAACACCAAGACCAUUCAAAGAGAAAGAAGUUCUCAACAAAUAUAUCUUCGACAACUGGAAAGUCACUGCAAAAAAGAAUGGUAUUAGACAAUACUACUUCUCAUCCCAAUGAAAAGUAGCCUGAGAUGCUUAAAGAAACUGAAUGUAAAAGAUAGAAGUAAAAACCUUUUAUAUAUGAACUGCAAUUUUCAAGUUAGUGCUUUUUAGUUUCUCCAUAGUUUUAUCAAGACAUGUGGAUGGCAUUGUGGGAGAAACAUAAUCCAUGACUCAUGUGCAUGUACAUCACAUCCAGAGGUGGUUCCUGGAAGAAUAUGAAGGGAAGUGAUAAAGGCAAAUGCUCCACAAUGAGAAUUCUACUUACUAUUCAUUAUUUCUUUCUAAAGACUUACAGUUUUCCCCUGUAUUGAAUUGGUUGUUUUGUUGUUUGUAAUCAAUAGACAUUGUUUUCCAGCUUUUAUUUAAAAAGUUAAAAUUAAAAAUAUAAAAAUAUGCAUCUGUUAGAAUUAAACAAAAUAAGACAUCAUCAGCACCUUGGACUUGGUGGCAGUUUCCUGACCAUGUUCCUAAAGUGUUAGCAUCAGAAUUUAAAAAAGAUUAAGUGGAACAUUUCACAAUUUUAGACUUUUGUACCUCAGGUGCUACUGUAGGGAAGUUAAAAGACAAUUCUCAGAAUGAGUCCAUGUAUUUGUAACUCAUUUAUCUGUUAAAGAGAUUGUCCAUGCUUUAACUCAUCCCUUUAAUCCCAGCACUCAAGAGGCAGAGGCAAGUGGAUCUCUCU